rnacentral:rRNA from 1 species
AUGAAGGUAGGUAGCAUGUUAAAGACUCCAGAUGACUAUGACAGAGUCAUAUCAGCAGAAAUACCUGAUAAAGAUAAAUACCCUGUCCUGCAUGCUCUGGUCAUAAAACACAUGUUGCACAGGCCAUGCGGUGUCCUCAAUAAAACAUGUGCUUGCAUGAUUGAGGAGCAGUGUCGUUUUCACUAUCCUCGGGAGUUUUGCCCCGCUACACAACAGGGAAAGGACUCAUAUCCCAUAUAUAGGAGGAGGGAUGAUGGACGUCGAGUAAAAGUGAGAGGAGCAGAGUUGGACAAUAGGUGGGUGGUGCCUUACAACCCCUUUCUUCUCAUGAAGUACAACUGCCACAUCAAUGUAGAAGCUUGCUCGAGCAUCAAGGCAGUGAAGUAUUUGUUCAAGUACAUUUACAAGGGACAUGAUCGAACAUCAUUUUCAUUCGAGCAGGAUGUCAUCAACAAUGGGGGGGUCAUUAAUGAGAUCUGA